GGGAUCGGCGGAGGGGUAGACGGCGGGGCGGGCUGGGCGAGUGGGGCGGCGAGGCGGGCAGGGCGAGCGGGGGAAGGGUCGGCGAGUGGGGCGGGCAGUCGAGCGGCACCGGCUACUGGUGCGGUGGUCUCUGGCGCCUGGAACCGCGUCCGGACACGAGGGCUCACCACCAGGGAGGAGCAACGGUGGGGAGAGGAGACGGGACACAGCCUAGGCUCCGCACGCCCGCGCCUCCGCUCGAAGAGGUCGCCACCGGCGGUGGGAGAGCAGAGGAGUUAGGAGAAGUAUAGUAGGGCGCAAGAGCUAGAUGCGGCGGUGCACGACACCAAGACCUAACCCGCGUCCGACGGCGGUAACCUCUCAUCGCCGCCACUCCAGAAAUCGAGCCCACGCUCCUCGUCCCCCCACUCCACCUGCCACAACACCGCUUCUUUACUAACUACGCCAGCCGUCGCUCGCGGCCACUCGCUGCUCCUACGAUGGUAGAGAGGAUAUAGGAGGGUCUAAGAGCUAACCUGGCCCCCUGUCUGCGGCGGUGUCCGGUGGCCCCUGCGGAGACGUAACAGCAGCCGACCUGCUCCUUUUGUCGUUCUACGACCGGAUACGUAGCCUGCACCCGACGAAGUCGAAAUCCCCUCUAAACUGAUACCGCGUUCCAGGGGGUGAAGGAACAACACCGUGACGUCGCAGUACCCGGGAAGACUUCCCUCUCCCUCCGUGUAGCCUCCCACCAUCGUCCACGCAGAACGAUUUCGUUGGUCACCAACAGCACCGGACUUCGUCGUUCAUAACACCUCUAACUACCUGAUCCACGAACGUCGGCGUCAGGUAGCGCGAGAGCCAACGACUGGAACUCCAGGUCGCCGUUGACGGGCAGUGAAUCCCCUACGAAGAUUCGACGUUACGAGGUAUAGGCUACGUUAUAUAAAGACGAAAUAACUUCUCCUGAUUGAACACGACCCUUUCUAAGGACUUCCACUACAGUCUAGUAACCAUUUAUUGUUCCUUAGGAACCUUGGACAGUAGGACAUCAUAAACAGACGCUAUCCAUACGUAAGACAUGUCGAUUCGUCUCAUAAGGUCUAACUCAUUACGAUCUCUAUGUUUGUAUAAUAUAUGAGGGAGGAAGGUAGAUAUAUCCCGGAUUACGUAAAAAAUUCUGGCGCAAACUGAUAACUGUUCUAAUUAUCAUGUACUGUACGUGUUACACUUUUAAUAUAGUAACUUUCGAGGAAAGUGUGUGCUUAAAUUGCUGCACGAAACACAUUCAACGUACAGUAUAUAACAACGAGAUUAUAAACCAGUUUCAAUCGGAACUUUUUGUGUAAUCCGGGAUAUAUCUACCUUCCUCCCUCAUAUGUAAAAUUACGAAAUCGAAGGUAUCACUCUCGUUCAACGUUCUGGUCUACGGUACGCCAGAAUGACGCUCGAGCAGGUCAAGUACCACUGAACCACUACUGAGUUUAGGUGGAUGGAGAAAGAGAGGCACAGAGGAAAACAACGACAAACAACCUUGAAACCUAACGCGACCGAACUACCGACAAAGCCUAAUUAGUUUCCUAAAACAAAUCGAAUCAAAGUAAUGCCCGUUCUGAUUCUAUCAGCAAGAAAUCACACCCAAUUUAAUUAGUCCCCUAAACUUCUUGCCAAGUUAACUAGACAUGAUUCGUUUGGACACACGAACGUUAGUGCAUACCAAAAUCGGUACAACGACGAUCUUUCGAAGGAAGUUAACUUGGCUAGAAGAGUCAUCGAUUACCUCGCGUAACCGUCCUUGUCUCACCGGUUGACUUAGACUAUCAGACCAAAGAAACAUGAGUAUAGAACAUCUCAUCAAAGGAUUGACUAACAAACCGUUGUUCAUAAAACUUCUUGAGUUUGAGUACCAUUGUUUACUUGAUCGUUUCUCUCGGUAAAUAUGGAGAGAAGACAUUCUAUUAGGGCACUUCCUGUGUGUGUAUUUUCGGUACUUCCUACUUCUUUCUUAAUAACUAGAUAAUAAUACAAAGAAGAAACGUUUAUAUAACGAUACCAACAAUCGCUACAUAUGCGGGCUCACCCGAUUACAUAUCAACAUAACCAAAUCGAAUAGCUGGAACGGCGCAAGUACAAAAAUAAAGGAAAACAAGUACUACUAACAAAAAAAACACGUCUGGAUCUAACAUCCUAACGUACUCAACCCCGAACGCUAACGGGUAACACCACGUGUCCAUCUAACAUCCUACAUGAACGGCUUUACUCGUACCAGCGGUACGAUUAACAAGUUUAUAAGAUACCAAUAAAGUCACGAAUAGAGUCAAUGAACUAAAGAAAACGUCAUGACGGUCCCCACCGACAAACAAAUGACGUCCCCCACAACUAGACGACGGGGUAAUAAACUAAUGUACAAACUACGAGAGGUUUUUUACGAUGUUUCUUAGUAUUCUUUGAAGAGCACUAUCUAAAUGGUAAUCCCUAUAACGGUUUACAAAUGAAGAUUAAGUAAUCGUAUAGGAGACAAAAAAAAUUAAUUAACAACGGAGGACAAAAAACAAAUAGAAUCGGAAGACCACGAAAACCACAUACCCGUUUUGUCCAGUCUCAUGUUUCACCACUUAACGUAAAGUGUACGGUUCUAUUUGUUUCUUAUUUUUUUCUUUUGUACCAUAAGAGAUUGUGUUCUCGUACUAUGGAACCCAGGUAACCACGUCUGGUUCUCUAUUCUUGAUGAAUACGACGUUAUCAAAGUCACCUUCAUAUCAGUCCACAAAUUAACAAAAAAAUGUCAAAAUCGAUUAACCGACCCAUAGGUGAAAUAGAAAACACGAACGUGUAUAUUAGCUAAGAGACCAGGUAUGAACGUACAAGAGAUUAAUAGAACCUCACGAACGUUCAUUAAUCUUGUAUAGAACCAGGUAUGAACGUAAUCUUAUACGGUGUAUCUUCCUACACCGUAUAGAACCUUAUUCUUACCGGUGUGCUCGUAAAACAGUACUAUAACAUUACUCACCAGCUAUGAACACCGUCACGAUGUUACCACGAUACAACGUACAAACGUGUUCUACGGACAUUUAAGAACUAGAAGCAGCACGGAGGACGAAUGAUAAUCAAGUUAACUCGGGUUAGAAAGACCAGCAUAACGAUGCGCGAAUACUAAUCAACGAGAUAAAGAACCAACAACAUAACAUCCUAUCCCUCCGUCUUCUCUCCUGUACGGCCCCUUACUUCCUCUUGUUUGUCACAGAGUCCGUGUGUUCGAUUUCCAAGUGGUUCAAGACCCUUUCUUUUCAAAGGGAUCUGUACACCGCCACCGACAGUUCUGUUCUCGCCGCGACACUCGCUGUCGGGAGCUAGCAGAAGGAACACCUUAGUCCAUGCGCAGCAGGUAGUACCCACAACCGCCCACCGGCCUCCGCCGAUGUAGUCCGGUCACAGGCACUAGUUCUGACUGUGGCCCUUCCGACGGCCAGAUGUCAACACGUGAGUUAAGUUUACUAAUAAGAGGCAAGAAACGGAGUCUUGAUGUAUACUCUCCAUGUUUCCCAACCGGUUCUAUGAGUUAAUUCGAUAAGCUAAAUUCCAGGAAACGACUACAACCAACACAGGAACGACGAACCUCUCCCCCACUCCCGUCUCCUGAAACUACGGUCUUUAUCCACUCAUAAAAGUCCAGGUGAUGUGGUUUCUUUUCGACUUUCUCAUGUAGUUUGGUCUACUACUGUGUGAGUUCCAGUUCGAGCGUUUGUCGUCAGACGUGUGGUCAACAGCAUAGUACGACCCUUGUCUGUUCUCUCGGUGUUAUUGGUCUUUGACCAGUCUCAAGACGGUGGCACGUUUGUAGGUACUUCCUACAUAGACGCGGAAAACAAAGUUCCAAUGGCAUCUCGUGGCGGACUGAGAGUAGCAGGUACAAGAGAUCUGCCUGGUAGAUGUCGUUGGGUACGGAAAACGUACGUAUCGGACAGCAGAAUUCUAGAUUAAACGGAGAUACUAUUCUACUUGGAAUGGACACCAACGGCUGCUACGGUAUGCAACGAAAACAUGUUGACGACCACUAUAAUAUUGGAUACAUUGGGGUCAAUAAUAAUGGGCCGUCGUGUAGGUAGAUAACUAGAAUGCAUACUAAAAGAUAGCAACGACGAAAGGAG
rnacentral:rRNA from 1 species